rnacentral:rRNA from 1 species
AUUGAACGCUGGCGGCAGGCCUAACACAUGCAAGUCGAACGAGCGGCGGACGGGUGAGUAAUGUCUGGGGAACUGCCUGAUGGAGGGGGAUAACUACUGGAAACGGUAGCUAAUACCGCAUACCAUCAGAUGAACCCAGAUGGGAUUAGCUUGUUGGUGGGGUAACGUCUCACCAAGGCGACGAUCCCUAGCUGGUCUGAGAGGAUGACCAGCCACACUGGAACUGAGACACGGUCCAGACUCCUACGGGAGGCAGCAGUGGGGAAUAUUGCACAAUGGGCGCAAGCCUGAUGCAGCCAUGCCGCGUGUAUGAAGAAGGCCUUCGGGUUGUAAAGUACUUUCAGCGGGGAGGCGUUACCCGCAGAAGAAGCACCGGCUAACUCCGUGCCAGCCGCCGCGGUAAUUC